rnacentral:rRNA from 1 species
UACGUAGGGGGCAAGCGUUGUCCGGAAUUAUUGGGCGUAAAGAGCUCGUAGGCGGUGUGUCGCGUCGGCCGUGAAAACCUGCAGCUUAACUGUGGGCUUGCGGUCGAUACGGGCAUCACUGGAGUUCGGCAGGGGAGACUGGAAUUCCUGGUGUAGCGGUGAAAUGUGCAGAUAUCAGGAGGAACACCGGUGGCGAAGGCGGGUCUCUGGGCCGAUACUGACGCUGAGGAGCGAAAGCGUGGGGAGCGAACAGG